rnacentral:tRNA from 1 species
GGCUCUGGGGAUAGAGCAGUGGUUUCCUAAACCAUGUGCCGCAGGUUCGGAUCCUGC